ACGUGAUCUGAGUUCAGACCGGAGUAAUCCAGGUCAGUUUCUAUCUAUAAGAAGUUCCUUCUAGUACGAAAGGACCGAAAAAACAUGGCCUAUGCAUCAACAAGCCAUCCAGACAAUUUAUGCUCUCAACUUAAUAACCAACCGAUUCGCAACCCACCUCAAUAGAAGAGGA
rnacentral:rRNA from 1 species